CCAAUAGCGUAUAUUAAAGUUGUUGCAGUUAAAAAGCUCGUAGUUGAAUUUUGGGUCUGGCCGGGCGGUCCGCCCUCUGGGUGAGCACUGUUCCGACGCCGGGCCUAUCCUUCUGGUGAGUCGGCAUGUCCUUUGUUGGGUGUGUCGGGGAACCAGGACCAUUACCUUGAAAAAAUUAGAGUGUUCAAAGCAGGCGUAUGCUCGGAUACAUUAGCAUGGAAUAAUGAAAUAGGACGCGUGGUGCUAUUUUGUUGGUUUCUAGAACCGCCGUAAUGAUUAAUAGGGAUAGUUGGGGGAAUUAGUAUUCAAUUGUCAGAGGUGAAAUUCUUGGAGUUAUUGAAGACUAACUUCUGCGAAAGCAUUUGCCAAGGAUGUUUUCAUUAAUCAAGAACGAAAGUUAGGGGAUCGAAGACGAUCAGAUACCGUCGUAGUCUUAACCAUAAACUAUGCCGACUAGGAAUCGGGCGAUGUUAUUCUCAUGACUCGCCCGGCGCCUUAUG
rnacentral:rRNA from 1 species